GAAAUGCGAUAAGUAGUGUGAAUUGCAGAAUUCAGUGAAUCAUCGAAUCUUUGAACGCACAUUGCGCCCUUUGGUAUUCCUUAGGGCAUGCCUGUUCGAGCGUCAUCUAAACCUUCAAGCCCUGCUUGGUGUUGGGUGCCUGUCCCGCCUCCGCGCGCGGACUCACCUCAAAUCCAUUGGCGGCCCCCGCGUCGGCCACGAGCGCAGCAGAAACGCGAACUCGUGAGCCCGUCCGGGCGGCUCCCAGAAGCUACACCCACCCAGUUUGACCUCGGAUCAUGUAGGGAUACCCGCUGAACUUAAGC
rnacentral:misc_RNA from 1 species